UACGUAGGGUGCGAGCGUUGUCCGGAAUUAUUGAGCGUAAAGGGCUCGUAGGCGGUUUGUCGCGUCGGGAGUGAAAUCCACUGGCUUAACUGGUGGCUUGCUUUCGAUACGGGCAGACUGGAGGUAUGCAGGGGAGAACGGAAUUCCUGGUGUAGCGGUGAAAUGCGCAGAUAUCAGGAAGAACACCCGUGGCGAAGGCGGCUCUCUGGGACGGUACUGACGGCUGAGACGCGAAAGCGUGGGGAGCGAACAGG
rnacentral:rRNA from 1 species